AAAGGGCCGCGGUAAUUUGACCGUGCGAAGGUAGCAUAAUCAUUUGUCUCUUAAUUAGAGGCUGGAAUGAAUGGCUGGAUGAGGGAUCAAGUGUCUCGUUUGUAUAAUUAGAAUUUUACUUUUAAGUGAAAAGGCUUAAAUAAUAUUAAGUGAAGAUAAGACCCUAUAAAACUUGUAUAUACAUUAAUAUAUAAUUUUUUAGAAUAGGUUUAAAUUUAUGUGUGUUGUGUAUAUUUUGUUGGGGCGACAAAAAUAGAAAUGUAUCUGUUAUUAUAAUGAGUUAGUAUUUAUUAAAUUUUGAGCCUUUAAUAUGGAUUAAAAGAACAAGUUACUUUAGGGAUAACAGCGUAAUUUUCUUUGAGAGAUCUAAUCGACAAGAGUAGUUGCGACCUCGAUGUUGAAUUAAAAUUUUCUAAUUGGUGCAGCAGCUUAGUUAGA
rnacentral:rRNA from 1 species